UGGGGAAUAUUCCGCAAUGGACGAAAGUCUGACGGAGCAAUGCCGCGUGAGUGAUGAAGGCCUUUGGGUCGUAAAACUCUGUCUUUGGGGAUGAAACCAUUAUGUGUUAAUACCACAUAGUAUUGACAGUACCCGAGGAGGAAGCCCCGGCUAACUACGUGCCAGCAGCCGCGGUAAUACGUAGGGGGCGAGGGUUGUCCGGAAUCAUUGGGCGUAAAGGGCGUGUAGGCGGUUUUGUAAGUCAGAUGUGAAAACUUGGGGCGCAACUUCAAGCCUGCAUCUGAAACUGCAUCACUAGAGGGCAGGAGAGGAAAGUAGAAUUCCAUGUGUAGCGGUGAAAUGCGUAGAUAUAUGGAAGAACACCAGUGGCGAAGGCGACUUUCUGGACUGAACCUGACGCUGAGGCGCGAAAGCCAGGGGAGCGAACG
rnacentral:rRNA from 1 species